GGUAGCGAUGGCUGAGUGUUUAAGCGGUGGUUUGUAGCCCCAAAGACGGAGGUUUGAAUCCUCCUCCUACCA
rnacentral:tRNA from 1 species